rnacentral:misc_RNA from 1 species
AAGUCGUAACAAGGUUUCCGUAGGUGAACCUGCGGAAGGAUCAUUAAUAAAGGAUACCUUCGGGUAUACCCCAUCCGUGCCUAUAUAUACUAUUGUUGCUUUGGCGGGCCGUCUCUCGGACUGUGGGCUCUGCCUGCAAGUGCCUGCCAGAGGACCAAACUCUGAAUGUUAGUGAUGUCUGAGUACUAUAUAAUAGUUAAAACUUUCAACAACGGAUCUCUUGGUUCUG